rnacentral:rRNA from 1 species
GACGAACGCUGGCGGCGUGCCUAAUACAUGCGAGUAGAACGCACAGUUUAUACCGUAGCUUGCUACACCAUAGACUGUGAGUUGCGAACGGGUGAGUAACGCGUAGGUAACCUGCCUGGUAGCGGGGGAUAACUAUUGGAAACGAUAGCUAAUACCGCAUAAUAUUAAUUAUUGCAUGAUAAUUAAUUGAAAGGUGCAAUUGCACCACUACCAGAUGGACCUGCGUUGUAUUAGCUAGUAGGUGAGGUAACGGCUCACCUAGGCGACGAUACAUAGCCGACCUGAGAGGGUGAUCGGCCACACUGGGACUGAGACACGGCCCAGACUCCCACGGGAGGCAGCAGUAGGGAAUCUUCGGCAAUGGACGAAAGUCUGACCGAGCAACGCCGCGUGAGUGAAGAAGGUUUUCGGAUCGUAAAGCUCUGUUGUAAGAGAAGAACGGGUGUGAGAGUGGAAAGUUCACACUGUGACGGUAUCUUACCAGAAAGGGACGGCUAACUACGUG